rnacentral:lncRNA from 1 species
AGCCGCCGCCAGAGCCAGACUGCAUCCGCCGCGGCGUCUCCAUGGCACGACCCUGGCCUCCGACUUCAACGACUUCAUAAGGCGGCGUUUCUGGGCUCAGCCGUGUCGCUCCUGGUUUCCAUCGUGUGGGAAGAACGGAGUAACGAGUCUCACGCAGAAAAAGGUCUUGAGAGCACCUUGUGGCGCACCCAGUGUAACUGUGACGAUCAACCAUUUUUGUGUUGUCCUCCCCCACCUGCCAGAAGCCAACCAUGAAGGACCGCUCUUCAACUCCCCCCUUACAUGUUCACGUGGAUGAGAACACCCCUGUCCACGUCCACAUAAAAAAACUCCCGAAACCAUCAGCGACCAGCAGCCAGAAAUCUCACAAGCGAGGAAUGAAAGGGGACACUGUGAAUGUGCGGCGGAGUGUCCGGGUGAAAACCAAGGUACCUUGGAUGCCCCCUGGAAAAUCAUCUGCCCGGCCCGUGGGAUGCAAGUGGGAGGUAGGCUCACCCUUGCCCAGGCUUUUCUUCUCGGACUGCUCAGAUCCUAGCAGGCCUCAGCCUC